CGCUUCUUUUCUCUUUCUCUGUGAAUUUCUUGAGAGCACAGACUACAUUCUGCUUAACUUUUUAUCCCCAGCUUUCAGCACAGUGCCUGGCUGGCUUUGGCGUCUCCAAGUACCUGACCUCAGCUCAACCUGUCUUGGGUUUUCUUCUCCUCCCUGACAUUGACAACCCAGCCCUCCUAGGCACAGAGAGAUGGAGCUGAGUGUGGUUUUCCUGAAAUAAAGCUUGCAUUA
rnacentral:lncRNA from 1 species